UACGUAGGUGGCGAGCGUUGUCCGGAAUUACUGGGCGUAAAGGGUGCGUAGGCGGUUUUUUAAGUGGGAUGUGAAAUCCCUGGGCUCAACUCAGGAAUUGCAUUCCAAACUGGAAGACUAGAGUGCAGGAGAGGAAAGUGGAAUUCCCAGUGUAGCGGUGAAAUGCGUAGAGAUUGGGAGGAACACCAGUGGCGAAGGCGACUUUCUGGACUGUAACUGACGCUGAUGCACGAAAGCGUGGGGAGCAAAC
rnacentral:rRNA from 1 species